UCGCUACCUCAUUGCAAGAGGGUCGUAACUCCAAAUUUGCUAGUUUUGAGUUAUAUGGUGUACAAGAUUGCCGAAUUGAUUCUGCAUCUUUUGGUAAAAGAGUCGUAAAUCUAGGUGAAUUAGCGGCCGAGAGAUGGCACUAAGAAGAUUUUUAGUGAACAUCAAAAUAUCUCUGAGGGUUGUGGCAACAGUGUCGUAGUCAGUGUUACUAUGGCAGUCGUUGAGGUAACAUCUCUCGAAUUUUGUUCAUGACUGUUGUAAGUAGGUUUUACGACUCUUUUACAACUAAAGUGAGAGCACACAAGUGGUGUUCUAUUUCUAGUUAAGGCUUUCUAGCAGUGAAAAAUAAUAAUUUCUUAAAGUGACUUGACGUGAUAAAUCAAAUUGUGUCUUUCUUGUACAAAAAUUUUAAUAGAAAAGUGUGUGGUAAAACAAAAUGUGACAAUAUUGAACAAAAAGUCCGAGAAAACACUUGAUAUAAUAUGACUUGCGUCUCUUUAACUACAAAACCACCAAAACCACCAAUUUAGUAACAAUAUCUUACAAUGAAUUGCAGCUGUGUUGCAGAAAAAUGUCUUAUCAAAAACGCAAUUGUCCUUGUUGUAACAUAACAAAUGUCAGUUUAGAUACAAAACAUUGCAGUCAUUUUCAAUUACUACAUUGCUUUUCAGAAUUUACUCAUGAUUAAUUAAUGAUGUCCCGUGGAUUGAAAUGUGUGCAAAUGGCAUUGCAAAGAAGAACAAAAUUGGAACAGGCUAGUGAGAAAGACGGAUCGGUAUCAGAAUGAGUACAAUAUCGCUUUCUUUGCUCCUAAGAAAGAUCAGUGUGACUUGUGUGUGUUGUUCAAUAAUGCAGAUGGGGAAGCUAAGGAAAACUUAAAAGAAAAGUAUGACACACAUCAAUGUGAAAAGGUACUUUCAAGGGAAGAGAAGAAGCAAGAUAAAACUGAAGGAAAUGCUAUAGUUGCUGUGUAUGAUCUACAAGCCGUACUGCAACUUCCACAAGGUGAUGUAUCCACCUUCUAUUACAAAUCAAAAUUUAAUGUCCUAAAUUUCACAAUUUAUGAUAUCAAGACUAAUGAAUGUGACUGUUUUCUUUGGGAUGAAACAAAUGGUAAUAGAGGAGUGAAUGAAAUAGGCUCUUGCAUCCUAAGUUAUAUUAAAGAAUUAUGUGAUAAGAAUCAAGGAGAAGACAACAUUGAAAUAAUUUUCUAUUCUGAUAACUGUGCUGGGCAACAAAAAAACAAAUUUAUGCUUGCAUUGUAUUUGUAUGUUGUCACUAAUUUGCCUGUUAAGUCAAUCACCCAUAAAUAUCUGAUAAAAGGCCACACACAGAAUGAAGGCGACUCUGCGCAUUCUCUGAUUGAAAAACAAAUAAGGAGACUGAAGAAAGGGGGACCAAUAUUCGUUCCUGAAACCCUUGUCACUGCGAUUCGCUCUGCAAAGAAAACAGGCCAGCCGUUCCAAGUUCGCGUAAUGCAGUAUGAUGACUUUAAAAAUGUGAAGUCUCUUACUACACAAAUGGGAGCAAUCAAUGUCAAAGAUUUAAGAUUAAGUGAAAUCAAAGUCAUGAAGUUUGAAAAGCAAUGUCCAGCCUCAGUCUUAGUGAAAUAUUCAUACAGUGAUGAAUUCAAACGUGUUCUAUUGAUCAGAAAACCAAAGGUUGCCACAGAUCUCUUGCAGUGUUACUCAGAGAAAAUUCCCCUAAGCGAAAAUAAGAAAAAAGAUCUUAAAGAACUCUGUGAAAAAGGCUUAAUCCCACGUCCCUAUUCGGACUUUUUUAACAACAUUACCUAAUUUUGAUGCUUAAUUGGUCACAAAGAUGUAAUACUUAUCAUUCAUUUUUUUUUUAUAACUGAGUUACGGCCAAGGGUAACAAAAAUUUAAAGGAAAUACUUGCUUCAUGUAAUUUAAACCUAUCUAUUUGAAAGAUUUCAUUAAUUUGAAGGAAAUUGUUUGCUUUAUGUGGCUGAACCAAUUGAUUUGAAAGAAAAAAAACUUUUUUUUUUUUUUUUUUACUUUUUUUUUCUUGGUAUGCAUUUUGUUGGAAGAAUAACAACAGAAUAUAAUGGUAUAAUAUAUUUCUGAAUAGGUACACAGCAUUUAUGAUUUAUUUCAAUUUGUUUUGUUACUGAAUGGAUAAAUACUGUUCUUUUUGUAAGGAAUAUUUAGUUUUAUAAUAAACUGGAAUCAUA